CCAUGCUAACGUAUUAUAUUUUUCAUAGGCAGAGAGUGUAGGCCAGUUCUCUGUUUUCUCUUUGACAUAUUGCACAAUGGGCGCAAGCCUGAUGCAGCCAUGCCGCGUGUAUGAAGAAGGCCUUCGGGUUGUAAAGUACUUUCAGCGGGGAGGAAGGUGUUGUGGUUAAUAACCGCAGCAAUUGACGUUACCC
rnacentral:rRNA from 1 species